GACGAACGCUGGCGGCGUGCUUAACACAUGCAAGUCGAACGGUAAGGCCCCAGCUUGCUGGGGUACACGAGUGGCGAACGGGUGAGUAACACGUGGGUGACCUGCCCCGCACUUCGGGAUAAGCCUGGGAAACUGGGUCUAAUAUCGGAUACGACAGCACCGUGGGGGUGUGGUGGAAAGUGUUUCGGUGUGGGGUGGGCGCGCGGCCCAUCAGCUUGUUGGUGGGGUAAUGGCCUACCAAGGCGGCGAAGGGUAGACGGCCUGAGAGGGUGGACGGGCACAAUGGGACUGAGACACGGCCCAGACGCCUACGGGAGGCAGCAGGGGGGAAUAUUGCACAAUGGGCGGAAGCCUGAUGCAGCGACGCCGCGGGGGGGAUGACGGCCUUCGGGGUGUAAACUCCUUUCGCCUUCGACGAAGGUUUUCUGACGGUAGAUGGAGAAGAAGCACCGGCUAACUACGUG
rnacentral:rRNA from 1 species